AUUGAACGCUGGCGGCAUGCUUUACACAUGCAAGUCGAACGGCAGCGGGGAGGAGCUUGCUUCUCUGCCGGCGAGUGGCGAACGGGUGAGUAAUACAUCGGAACGUGUCGAGAAGAGGGGGAUAACCACCCGAAAGGGUGGCUAAUACCGCAUAAAUUCUGAGGAAGAAAGCUGGGGACCUAGGAAUAGGCCUCGCGCUUUUUGAGCGGCCGAUGUCGGAUUAGCUAGUUGGUGAGGUAAAGGCUCACCAAGGCGAAGAUCUGUAGCGGGUCUGAGAGGAUGAUCCGCCACACUGGGACUGAGACACGGCCCAGACUCCUACGGGAGGCAGCAGUGGGGAAUUUUGGACAAAGGGGGCAACCCUGAUCCAGCCAUGCCGCGUGUAUGAAGAAGGCCUUAGGGUUGUAAAGUACUUUUGUUAGGGAAGAAAAGUCGGCUGUGAAUAAUGGCUGAUACUGACGGUACCUAAAGAAUAAGCACCGGCUAACUACGUG
rnacentral:rRNA from 1 species